rnacentral:rRNA from 1 species
AUUGAACGCUGGCGGCAUGCCUUACACAUGCAAGUCGAACGGUAACGGGCCUUCGGGUGCCGACGCGUGGCGAACGGGUGAGUAAUACAUCGGAACGUGCCCGAUCCUGGGGGAUAACGAGGCGAAAGCUUUGCUAAUACCGCAUACGAUCUACGGAUGAAAGCCGGGGACCGCAAGGCCUUGCGCGGGCGGAGCGGCCGAUGGCAGCUUCGGUAGUUGGUGGGAUAAAAGCUUACCCAGCCGACGAGCUGUAGCUGGUCGGAGAGGAUGAUCAGCCACACUGGGACGGAGACACGGCCCAGAGUACUACGGGAGGCAGCAGUGGGGAAUGUUGGACAAUGGGCGCAAGCCUGAUCCAGCCAUGCCGCGUGCAGGAUGAAGGCCUUCGGGGUGUAAACUGCUUUUGUACGGAACGAAAAGCCUUCUUUUAAUACAGGAGGGUCAUGACGGUACCGGAAGAAUAAGCACCGGCUAACUACGUG